UACGUAGGCGGACGUAAAGGCGUCUUGUGAAAUCCCUCGGCUCAACCGAGGAAUUGCUCGACGAACCAUAUGUCUUGAGGCAGGUAGGGGUUGUCGGAACGAUAGGUGGAGUGGUGAAAUGCGUUGAUAUCUAUCGGAACGCCGAAGGAGAAAUCAGACAGCUGGGCCUGUCCUGACGCUGAGGUACGAAAGCGUGGGGAGCGAACAGGAUUAGAUACCCUGGUAGUCC
rnacentral:rRNA from 1 species